rnacentral:rRNA from 1 species
GAUGAACGCUGGCGGCGUGCCUAAUACAUGCAAGUCGAGCGAACAGACGAGGAGCUUGCUCCUCUGACGUUAGCGGCGGACGGGUGAGUAACACGUGGAUAACCUACCUAUAAGACUGGGAUCACUUCGGGAAACCGGAUCUAAUACCGGAUAAUAUAUUGAACCGCAUGGUUCAAUAGUGAAAGACGGUUUUGCUGUCACUUAUAGAUGGUUCCGCGCCGCAUUAGCUAGUUGGUAAGGUAACGGCUUACCAGGGCGACGAUGCGUAGCCGACCUGAGAGGGGGAUCGGCCACACUGGAACUGAGACACGGUCCAGACUCCUACGGGAGGCAGCAGUGGGGAAUCUGCCGCAAUGGGGGAAAGCCUGACGGAGCAAGGCGGCGUGGGUGAUGAUGGUCUUCGGAUCGUAAAACUCUGUUAUUAGGAAAAAACAAAUGUGGAAGUAACUAUGCACGUCUGGACGGUACCUAAUCAGAAAGCCACGGCUAACUACGU